rnacentral:rRNA from 1 species
AACUAUGAUCUGAAGUCAA